rnacentral:rRNA from 1 species
CUAUACUGCAGUCGAGCGAAUCGGAGGGAGCUUGCUCCCAAAGAUUAGCGGCGGACGGGUGAGUAACACGUGGGCAACCUGCCUGUAAGACUGGGAUAACUUCGGGAAACCGGAGCUAAUACCGGAUAAUCCUUUUCCUCUCAUGAGGGAAAGCUGAAAGACGGUUUCGGCUGUCACUUACAGAUGGGCCCGCGGCGCAUUAGCUAGUUGGUGAGGUAACGGCUCACCAAGGCGACGAUGCGUAGCCGACCUGAGAGGGUGAUCGGCCACACUGGGACUGAGACACGGCCCAGACUCCUACGGGAGGCAGCAGUAGGGAAUCUUCCGCAAUGGACGAAAGUCUGACGGAGCAACGCCGCGUGAGCGAAGAAGGCCUUCGGGUCGUAAAGCUCUGUUGUCAGGGAAGAACAAGUGCCGGAGUAACUGCCGGCACCUUGACGGUACCUGACCAGAAAGCCACGGCUAACUACGUGCCAGCAGCCGCGGUAAUACGUAGGUGGCAAGCGUUGUCCGGAAUUAUUGGGCGUAAAGCGCGCGCAGGCGGUCCUUUAAGUCUGAUGUGAAAGCCCACGGCUCAACCGUGGAGGGUCAUUGGAAACUGGGGGACUUGAGUGCAGAAGAGGAGAGUGGAAUUCCACGUGUAGCGGUGAAAUGCGUAGAGAUGUGGAGGAACACCAGUGGCGAAGGCGACUCUCUGGUCUGUAACUGACGCUGAGGCGCGAAAGCGUGGGGAGCGAACAGGAUUAGAUACCCUGGUAGUCCACGCCGUAAACGAUGAGUGCUAAGUGUUAGAGGGUUUCCGCCCUUUAGUGCUGCAGCAAACGCAUUAAGCACUCCGCCUGGGGAGUACGGCCGCAAGGCUGAAACUCAAAGGAAUUGACGGGGGCCCGCACAAGCGGUGGAGCAUGUGGUUUAAUUCGAAGCAACGCGAAGAACCUUACCAGGCUUGACAUCCUCUGACAACCCUAAGAUAGGGCGUUCCCCUUCGGGGGACAGAGUGACAGG